UUUUAUUAUAACUACUAAAUUAUGUAAUGUGACCAGGGUGACCACAGGUACAAAUUGGUAGGUGCCGGGAUCAAUGAUAGGUUGCAUUACAACUACCUACAGGACUGACAGAAUCAAUACUAGUGAAAUCAAUGGUCCACCAUUUUUUUUUCACCAACCAUUUGACAUUAGGCUGCUGGCGAGGACACUCAACGACGACAACUUUUUGAAAAUCACGACGGCUGUGUGAUGGUGUCGGACGCAGAUAUUCUUCGGCACUCGUCCUCUGGUGUGUCGGUGACAUUCUUUGAUUUUCAAUGCACUGAAAACGUCACCUGUAUAUCCGUCACACAUUCCUAUCGAACCUUUGGACACGAAAUAUCUAAUAAAUUUCAACAUUUUUCUAAAAAUCAAGAUUGCUAUACGUCGUAACUUUUAUAACGGUCACCAAUCAAAAAAUAAAAUUCAUUCUAUUGUCAUAAAUAAUUUAAAAAAAAAAUAAAUUCAGAAGAAAGUGUUUAAAAUUAAAGUGAGUUUAUAUCACAGUUAUAAUGAACUUGAGUAAAAAAAAAUUGCUCAGGGUUAUUCUUGGCGAUUCCAUACAAAAGAGCAAAGGACUAAAG